rnacentral:ncRNA from 18 species
AAAUAGCGGAGAAAGAUACGGUUUGAAAAGUUGUAAGCUGAGUAAAUGAAAAGGAAAUCCGGUUCAAUUCCGGAACAACCGCCAUUACUGUAUUUGAAAAAGGCAUGGCAUGGGGCGAAGUCCCUGUGGGAUGCUCUUGUGGGUAUGUCCACAUCAUAAGUCAGGAUGCCGCCGUAUUUUUCAGGUUCCACA